GCUGGGCAUGGUGGCGCAUGCCUGUAAUUCCAGAGGCUUGGGAGGGUGAGGCAGGAGGAUUGUGAGUUCAAAGCCAGCCUCCC
rnacentral:sRNA from 1 species